GCGGACGUGGUGGAAUUGGUAGACACACUAGCUUGAGGGGCUAGCGCCGCAAGGUAUGGGAGUUCGAGUCUCCCCGUCCGCACCA
rnacentral:tRNA from 1 species